UUGAACGCUGGCGGCCGGCCUAACUCAUGCAAGUCGAGCGGAUGAAGGGAGCUUGCUCCUGGAUUCAGCGGCGGACGGGUGGGUAAUGCCUCGGAAUCUGCCUGGUAGUGGGGGAUAACGUCCGGAAACGGGCGCUGAUACCGCAUACGUCCUGAGGGAGAAAGUGGGGGAUCUUCGGACCUCACGCUAUCAGAUGAGCCUAGGUCGGAUUAGCUAGUUGGUGGGGUAAAGGCCUACCAAGGCGACGAUCCGUAACUGGUCUGAGAGGAUGAUCAGUCACACUGGAACUGAGACACGGUCCAGACUCCUACGGGAGGCAGCAGUGGGGAAUAUUGGACAAUGGGCGAAAGCCUGAUCCAGCCAUGCCGCGUGUGUGAAGAAGGUCUUCGGAUUGUAAAGCACUUUAAGUUGGGAGGAAGGGCAGUAAGUUAAUACCUUGCUGUUUUGACGUUACCAACAGAAUAAGCACCGGCUAACUUCGUG
rnacentral:rRNA from 1 species